UCCCUGGUAGCUCAGUUGGUAAAGAAUCUGCCUGUAAUGCAGGAGACCUGGGUUCAAUCCCUGGAUUGGGAA
rnacentral:tRNA from 1 species